GCCAGAGUAGUGUAGUGGUUUGAGUCUUGGACUACGAAUCUGGAAACCAGGGUUCAAUUCCCUGCUCAGCCA